rnacentral:rRNA from 1 species
UGACCUCGGAUCAGGUAGGAAUACCCGCUGAACUUAAGCAUAUCAAUAAGCGGAGGAAAAGAAACCAACAGGGAUUGCCUCAGUAACGGCGAGUGAAGCGGCAACAGCUCAAAUUUGAAAUCUGGCCCUAGGCCCGAGUUGUAAUUUGCAGAGGAUGCUUUUGGCGAGGUGCCUUCCGAGUUCCCUGGAACGGGACGCCAUAGAGGGUGAGAGCCCCGUCUGGUCGGACACCAAGCCUCUGUAAAGCUCCUUCGACGAGUCGAGUAGUUUGGGAAUGCUGCUCUAAAUGGGAGGUAUAUGUCUUCUAAAGCUAAAUACCGGCCAGAGACCGAUAGCGCACAAGUAGAGUGAUCGAAAGAUGAAAAGCACUUUGGAAAGAGAGUUAAACAGCACGUGAAAUUGUUGAAAGGGAAGCGUUCACGACCAGACUUGGGCCGGUUGAUCAUCCAGCGUUCUCGCUGGUGCACUCUGCCGGCCCAGGCCAGCAUCAGUUCGCCCCGGGGGACAAAGACGGCGGGAAUGUGGCUCCUCCGGGAGUGUUAUAGCCCAUCGUGCAAUACCCUGUGGUGGACUGAGGUUCGCGCUCUGCAAGGAUGCUGGCGUAAUGGUCGUCAACGACCCGUCU